UUGCUGUGAUGACAUCUUAGGACACCUUUGGAUUAACCAUGAAUAUAACCUUCAUUCUGAGCAAC